rnacentral:ncRNA from 1 species
GGGCGUCUACUCCACACCCAUAGGCGUACCACCCGAAAAAAGGAGGAACAUGCGGCCCUUUGGCUCAGGGUGCGGCAGUGUGGAGACCUGUCGUAAAGCGGCGCGUCCCAUAGCGGGCGGCCGCAAGGGCGUUUCGUGCGAAGGCAGAACGCUCAGAGCUGUGCAAUAUGGCA